AUGAACGCUGGCGGCGUGCCUAAUACAUGCAAGUCGAGCGAACAGACGAGGAGCUUGCUCCUCUGACGUUAGCGGCGGACGGGUGAGUAACACGUGGAUAACCUACCUAUAAGACUGGGAUAACUUCGGGAAACCGGAGCUAAUACCGGAUAAUAUAUUGAACCGCAUGGUUCAAUAGUGAAAGACGGUUUUGACUGUCACUUAUAGAUGGAUCCGCGCCGCAUUAGCUAGUUGGUAAGGUAACGGCUUACCAAGGCAC
rnacentral:rRNA from 1 species